CACACAUGAAGUCUUAGGGACCGAAACUUCAUCGACGGAGUUUGGUGCAAGAAGAUGUACAUCCAACACUGUUGGAUAGUAACGAUGCCGAUCCCAUGCAAGAGGAUUUGCUGAAUGGAAUAUACCCACACAGCUGAUCUGGCCAUCACAUGGAAGUGUGGUCUUCUAUGACAACAUCAUUCAUGUCUUCCUCUGCUCUAGCCUUGACAUCGCGUGCAAGUACGAGGACAAUGAUGCACCAUUGUAGCCCACCACUUGUUGUUUGCACGGUCAUACACUGGCAGUGGCA